UUCCAUUGAGAAGAUGAAAAAGGGCAAAGUGAUUAACGGUAGGAUAGGAAAGUCUGAGGCAGAAGAUUGGGUCGUUUGGUGACCGUUGGGAGUGACAGUCCCCAGCAACCAUGUGGAUAAGGUAAACGGUUCAUUUUGUCCGUAAGAAUAAUUUAUUUUGCAACUGCGAUGAUUAAUCUUUCGAGCAUUGUAUGAUCUAAUUGGAUAGCAAAUUCUUUUUAAGAGUUUUAACGCUGCUGCAUCUCCAAGAUUGAAUUCGAACCCAACAUCUGAGAAGGGCAAACCUAAACUCUUUUUAAUACUUUUGUGUUUAUCUCUCUCUUACCAACAUAUUCUAUCUCAUCUAAAUAAUUUAUUUUAAUCAUUCAUUCAUACAUCUAAAAUGAACUUAUGUCACCAAUGGCACCAAAAAACUAUGGCACCCAAGUAUUUUCCUACGUGAUAUUUAUCUUUUCUCCAAAACUCUUAAAUUGAUUUAGGGUUCAUAAUUUUCUGAUGAAACUCAGGAUUCUCCAAAUUCUAUCAUUAUCCACGAGAAAAGUCGUUUGUAACUAAUAAAAGCCGUGGGUAGGUAAUAUUGAAUAUCAUCUUACUACUGCAUGACUUCUAUAAUUAAUUUUUUGGAAAAACAAAGGAAUGCUUAGCAUCUAUAAUUUUUUAGGAAAACAAAGUGACAAAUGUGAAGUUUAUAAUGGCUCAGCCUUAGAUUCAGUUUAACACAGUGCAUAUUUCAACAUAAGUCAAAUCGUUAUUGUUUUACAAAGCAUGUUCAUAUUUUACAAACCACGGAUUCACAUUCACAUUGAUUACACGCAAGUUCACAUUUUGCAUAACACACAAUUAUAUUUCAAAACUUGUACACAUACGACACCUACUUUGUAUAUAUGCAAUAUAACUAACCUCUUGAGAGUGUAUUUCUAGCAUUUGUAUAUGGUUCGGUUAUUUGUGUUGACGCUUGAUUCUAACUGACGGUUUAUUUUUAAGUUGACGAUUUUUUCUUUCUUUCUUUAAACCAUCCUACUUUAAAAAUUUAUUCCCCAAUUCCCCAAAUACUUGAUUUUUUGUCCGAAUUGGAUAGGAUACAUUCUUGAAGGAUCUAAAUAUUUAAUUAGUCUUAAUUUUUUUGUCCUAAUAGGAUACAUUCUUUGUUCUUAUCUUAUCUUUUUUAUGUUAUUCUAUUAAAAAAUGUACUCCAAAGAAUCAAAAUAGAAGACCAAUUCAUGUAGUCCGUUGAAGAAAACGAGUAACUCAAUCAUCUUCAACAUCAAUAAAUCCCAAACAACAACCAUUCCUGAAAACCCAACACCCCAUCAUAUAUUCACCAUAUAUUUACUAGAGAAUUGAUAUUUGUACAUUCAUUUUAUGAUAACUUUUGGAACAAUUCUCUUUCGAUUGUUUGCAUACUCUCGUUAUGUUCUUAAAAGAAAAGAGAAAACAAAAAUUAUCCAAAAAAUUAUCACAAAUAUAUUACUCUAUUCACUAUCAUAUAGUUUUGAACUCACAAUAUUCACCAACAAAGAAACCAAAAACAACAUAAUCAAUAUCUCCAUUUCAAGCCCCAUUCAUCAUAUUUACUAAAAUCAAAAGAACAAUUAAAUAUCUCUCUCACGUUUGUUUUUUCAUAACCCUGACUUUAUUUUUCAUUUACGUUUCAGACUUAGAAAGAAGAUAACUCAAAAGUCUCAUUUUAUUCCUUCACAAUUGUUUCCUGGCAUUUUCUUUUAUUUAGUUAUCAGUUAAUUAACACUUAUUUUAAUAGUGAAGCACAAUCAAGUUGUAUUAUUUUUAUUUUUCACUUUUUACAUUAUUUUUAUUUUCUUAUUCUUUGUAUUUUUAUAGUGAAGCACAAUCAAUUAAAUUCAAAAGGUGAACUCUGAUAAAACACACAAAAAAUGAAAUAAAUAAUGAUUGGAAAAUGAUUCAAAAGGUGAACUCUUCGCCCUUAGGUAGCAAUUUCAAUGAGCUAGUUUGGUUUCUUAAAAAAAUAUUUACCAAAUAUACACAUAUGAAAUAAAUGGUAAAUAUAUCUUUAUUUUUUCCCUCUAAUUAAUGCCAUUACAAUAUAGAAAAUAUCUGGUGGUCCUGGGUAUCACCAGUAGACACUCCACAUUUUCUUCAUGUGAGCUGAGUAUUUACUCUUCUAUCUAACAAUAUAUAUUCUUAUUAUAUUGACAUGAUGAGUAAUAACCCAGUCUCUGUUCAAAUAAGGCAGAACUAGAGCACCUCCUACAUAUAUUGAUGUGAAUCUCAUCCUCACCAUGUUCACUUCUUACAAAAUUUCAGUUCCUACUAACAAUUGCAUACAAUAUGGACUCAUAGCUGGCAAUAGAUAUUUUCGCUCGAGUUGUGGUCUUCAAUCAGGCUGUGUUGGAAUUCAAGUGUGAGAAGACACUUCAUACUCGCCCAAUAGGCGAAAAAGGCUGGUUCAGCAU
rnacentral:lncRNA from 1 species